rnacentral:rRNA from 1 species
UCCAGACUCCUACGGGAGGCAGCAGUGGGGAAUAUUGGUCAAUGGGCGCGAGCCUGAACCAGCCAAGUCGCGUGAGGGAUGACGGCCCUACGGGUUGUAAACCUCUUUUGUCGGGGAGCAAAUUCCGUUACGUGUAACGGAGUCGAGAGUACCUGAAGAAAAAGCAUCGGCUAACUCCGUGCCAGCAGCCGCGGUAAUACGGAGGAUGCGAGCGUUAUCCGGAUUUAUUGGGUUUAAAGGGUGCGCAGGCGGAAUGUCAAGUCAGCGGUAAAAUUUCGGGGCUCAACCCCGUCGUGCCGUUGAAACUGGCGUUCUUGAGUGAGCGAGAAGUAUGCGGAAUGCGUGGUGUAGCGGUGAAAUGCAUAGAUAUCACGCAGAACUCCGAUUGCGAAGGCAGCAUACCGGCGCUCAACUGACGCUCAUGCACGAAAGCGUGGGUAUCGAACAGGAUUAGAUACCCGCGUA